rnacentral:snRNA from 1 species
AGCUUUGCGCAGUGGCAGUAUCGUAGCCAAUGAGGUUUAUCCAAGGCAUGAUUAUUGCUAAUUGAUAAUUAUG